rnacentral:rRNA from 1 species
GCCUAUGUCUCUGCCUCUCUCUGUGGGCCUCUCAUGAAUAAAUAAAUAAAAUUAAAAAAAAAAAAAGCUAAGCAGGGUGAGCCUUGGUUAGUACUUGGAUGGGAGACGACCUAGUAAUACUAGGUAUUAUAGGCU